UACAGAGGGUGCAAGCGUUAAUCGGAAUUACUGGGCGUAAAGCGAGCGUAGGCGGUUAUUUAAGUCGGAUGUGAAAUCCCCGGGCUCAACCUGGGAAUUGCAUUCGAUACUGGAUAACUAGAGUUCGGCAGAGGGAAGCGGAAUUUCUGGUGUAGCGGUGAAAUGCGUAGAUAUCAGAAGGAACAUCAGUGGCGAAAGCGGCUUCCUGGACCAGAACUGACGAUCAGGCUCGAAAGCGUGGGGAGCAAACAGG
rnacentral:rRNA from 1 species